rnacentral:tRNA from 7 species
GGGGUAAUCGGCUAGUUUGGUUUAGGCUUCGAGGUUCGGGACCUCGUGACCUGGGUUCAAAUCCCAGUUACCCCA